CCACAAAAAAUCAAUACAAAAAUGCACAAAAAGUUUUCAAAAAGAAAGAGGAGCAUAGGUGAUUCUCUGAUUUUUAUAUCUUUUUUGUUAUUCUUCUUUUUUUUCAUUUUUGGGUUUUGCUUCGAAUUGUUUUUUACUUUAAAAAAUUUUAAAAGAAGAGAAAGGAAGGAAGUGAGAGGCUUACCUGGUCUUCGUUCGCUCUGUCAUAAUCGGGGUCGGGCGAGGCUGAGGGUCCCCUGAGUAGUCGACCCGCAGAUUCGGCGAGGGGGCAUCUCUGUUAGUUUUUUUCUUUUCUUUUUUUAAAAAAGGGAGGAGUCUGCUUUGGCUAGGGUUUAUUUUAGUUUUUAUAUGGUGAAAAACGGCGUCGUUUGAGACCGAUUUUGAUGGUCUCAAAACGACGUCGUGAGGGGCUGGUAUUCCUGCAGUGACCGACCCGAGGGAAGGAUCCGCGCGUUUUUACUCGAUGGUCUAUUUGCGCAAUCAAUCCUCCUUUGUUUUGUAUUGUUCCAAUUUGAUUUUCUGCAGUUUUUCGAUUCAUA
rnacentral:lncRNA from 1 species